AUUGAACGCUGGCGGCAGGCCUAACACAUGCAAGUCGAACGAGUGGCGGACGGGUGAGUAAUGUCUGGGAAACUGCCCGAUGGAGGGGGAUAACUACUGGAAACGGUAGCUAAUACCACAUACCAUCAGAUGGGCCCAGAUGGGAUUGGCUAGUAGGUGGGGUAACGGCCCAUCUAGGGGACGAUCCCUAGCUGGUCUGAGAGGAUGACCAGCCACACUGGAACUGAGACACUGUCCAUACUCCUACGGGAGGCAGCAGUGGGGAAUAUGUCACAAUGGGCGCAAGCCUUAUGCAGCCAUGCCGAGUGUAUGAAGAAGGCCUUCGGGUUGUAAAGUACUUUCAGCGGGGAGGCGUUACCCGCAGAAGAAGCACCGGCUAACUCCGUGCCAGCAGCCGCGGUAAUUC
rnacentral:rRNA from 1 species